CAAGAAAGUAAGAACAGUUUUUCUCUCUUCGGUUUUCUUCCGUGUCUCACUCUUUUUUGCGAAACAUAGUUCACAUUCUGCUGUGUCAUGGCUGUGAAACUAAGGUAUUUUGCAGUAUCAAAUUGAAUUGGGUUCAAUUUCCAGAUUCUUCCAUUGAACAUGAGAAACACAAUAGUAUCGAAGCAGACCUCGGAUCCAGAAAAACAAAGGUUACAUUAAAGAAACAUGCUCUUUUACUACAUUUUCU